GAUGAACGCUGGCGGCGUGCCUAAUACAUGCAAGUCGAGCGAACGGACGAGAAGCUUGCUUCUCUGAUGUUAGCGGCGGACGGGUGAGUAACACGUGGAUAACCUACCUAUAAGACUGGGAUAACUUCGGGAAACCGGAGCUAAUACCGGAUAAUAUUUUGAACCGCAUGGUUCAAAAGUGAAAGACGGUCUUGCUGUCACUUAUAGAUGGAUCCGCGCUGCAUUAGCUAGUUGGUAAGGUAACGGCUUACCAAGGCAACGAUGCAUAGCCGACCUGAGAGGGUGGUCGGCCACACGGGAACUGAGACACGGACCAGACGCCUACGGGAGGAAGCAGUAGGGAAUCUUCCGCAAUGGGCGAAAGCCUGACGGAGCAACGCCGCGUGAGAGAUGAAGGUCUUCGGAUCGUAAAACUCUGUUAUUAGGGAAGAACAUAUGUGUAAGUAACUGUGCACAUCUUGACGGUACCUAAUCAGAAAGCCACGGCUAACUACGUG
rnacentral:rRNA from 1 species